UACAGAGGUCUCAAGCGUUGUUCGGAUUCAUUGGGCGUAAAGGGUGCGUAGGCGGCGCGGUAAGUCGGAUGUGAAAGCCCGGGGCUCAACCCCGGGAGGCGGGCGGAUACUGCCGGGCUAGAGUCCGGAAGAGGCGAGUGGAAUUCCUGGUGUAGCGGUGAGAUGCGCAGAUAUCAGGAGGAACACCAAUGGCGAAGGCAGCUCGCUGGGACGGUACUGACGCUGAGGCGCGAAAGCGUGGGGAGCGAACAGG
rnacentral:rRNA from 1 species